rnacentral:rRNA from 1 species
GAUGAACGCUAGCGGGAGGCUUAACACAUGCAAGUCGAGCGGCAGCGCGGGGGCAACCCUGGCGGCGAGCGGCGGACGGGUGAGGAAUGCAUCGGAAUCUACCUCGUUGUGGGGGAUAACCUCGGGAAACCGGGACUAAUACCGCAUACGACCUACGGGUGAAAGUGGGGGACCUUCGGGCCUCACGCGAUGAGAUGAGCCGAUGCCGGAUUAGCUAGUUGGCGGGGUAAAGCCCACCAAGGCGACGAUCCGUAGCUGGUCUGAGAGGAUGAUCAGCCACACUGGAACUGAGACACGGUCCAGACUCCUACGGGAGGCAGCAGUAGGGAAUAUUGGACAAUGGGCGCAAGCCUGAUCCAGCCAUGCCGCGUGAGUGAAGAAGGCCCUCGGGUUGUAAAGCUCUUUUGUCCGGAAAGAAAGCGCCGGGUUAAUACCCUGGUGUCCUGACGGUACCGGAAGAAUAAGCACCGGCUAACUUCGUG